UUACGGGCGAAGAUAAGACGGAUUAGCGGCGGACGGGUGAGUAACACGUGAGUAACCUGCCUUUUACACAGGGAUAGCCUCGGGAAACCGGGAUUAAAACCUGAUGAAACUAUCAAAUCACAUGAUUAAGAAAGUUAAAACUCCGGUGGUAAAAGAUGGACUCGCGUCCCAUUAGCUAGUUGGUGAAGGUAACGGCCCACCAAGGCAACGAUGGGUAGCCGGCCUGAGAGGGUGAACGGCCACAUUGGAACUGAGAAACGGUCCAAACUCCUACGGGAGGCAGCAGGG
rnacentral:rRNA from 1 species